rnacentral:snRNA from 1 species
GUGCUCGCUUCGGCAGCACAUAUACUAAAAUUGGAACGAUACAGAGAAGAUUAGCAUGGCCCCUGCGCGCGCGCUUCAUGUCACUUGUAUCUAUAAUUUU